rnacentral:rRNA from 1 species
ACUCCUACGGGAGGCAGCAGUGGGGAAUAUUGCACAAUGGGCGCAAGCCUGAUGCAGCCAUGCCGCGUGUGUGAAGAAGGCCUUCGGGUUGUAAAGCACUUUCAGUCGUGAGGAAGGUAGUGUAGUUAAUAGCUGCAUUAUUUGACGUUAGCGACAGAAGAAGCACCGGCUAACUCCGUGCCAGCAGCCGCGGUAAUACGGAGGGUGCGAGCGUUAAUCGGAAUUACUGGGCGUAAAGCGUACGCAGGCGGUUUGUUAAGCGAGAUGUGAAAGCCCCGGGCUCAACCUGGGAACUGCAUUUCGAACUGGCAAACUAGAGUGUGAUAGAGGGUGGUAGAAUUUCAGGUGUAGCGGUGAAAUGCGUAGAGAUCUGAAGGAAUACCGAUGGCGAAGGCAGCCACCUGGGUCAACACUGACGCUCAUGUACGAAAGCGUGGGGAGCAAACAGGAUUAGAUACCCCACUACUGCCUCCCGUAGGAGUACUGUCAU